rnacentral:rRNA from 1 species
UUGCCAGCGUACUCUCUGGAGUGACGGGCACACUGUGGGACCGCCGCUGCUAAAGCGGAGGAAGGAAUGGGCAACGGUAGGUCAGUAUGCCCCGAAUAUCCCGGGCUACACGCGAGCUACAAUGGUUGGUACAAUGGGUAUCUACCCCGAAAGGGGACGGGAAUCUCCUAAAACCAAUCUUAGUUCGGAUUGAGGGCUGCAACUCGCCCUCAUGAAGCUGGAAUCCGUAGUAAUCGCGUUUCAACAGAACGCGGUGAAUACGUCCCUGCUCCUU